AAUUAGCCGGUGCUUUCUCCUGAGGUACCCUCAAAAAUUUGUUCCUCAGAACAGAAGUUUACGCCCAAAAAGGGUUUCAUCCUUCACGCGGUGUCGCUCCGUCAGGCUUGCGCCCAUUGCGGAAGAUUCCUCA
rnacentral:rRNA from 1 species